rnacentral:lncRNA from 1 species
GUGUGAAUAUGGUCACAAGGUGAGGGCCAGGGAAAAGGGUCCAGUUCCAGUUCAGUCACCAAAAGGUGGAGCUCCUGACUCCAGGGAUCAGCACGGCCAGACGUGCCAUGUAGCUCCAAAACCAGAGUUACCUGGCCGUCAGGUAAACCAAAAGAAGCCUGUCCCAAAACAGAGUAAACAGGCGGACCAGGCAACUGCAAAACCUCAGCUACCUGGUCAUCCGGUAAAUCAAGAUAAACCUGUCCAGAACCUGAACAGGGCUCCGUUCCACCAAAACAGACAAUACCUUAAGUAGAUGGUAACUGUGGGACCUCGGGGAAUCAACCUAGUAGCUUGGGGUUCUCCAUUCCUGACCUGAUUAAAACUCAAGAUGAUGAUGUGAAUCUUAAGGCACCACCUGUAGAAAAUGGGUAGGGCUAUUGGAGGUCAAUUGUUAUGGUUUGUUUUCCUUUCACAGAAUGCAGACCGGUUAUAUGUCCAGGGCCAGUCCCCUUGGAUGUAAUGGACUCAAAAGAUAGUUCCAAGAGUCAGGUUGGCAAGCACAGCCAACCUUGGCAGCAGUUCUCUCGCCAAACCAGCUGAGAAGAGUAAGUACCAACUCACCUUGCUGGAAAAAACAACCAGUAUUGAUGUAGAUCCCAGCUUUUCUACACCUACAAGGCUCUCCUUUUUAGGGUGGGGAGGAGUGUAGUGAGCGGAUGUUUUGGAACAGUUCCGGAUCACGGGUUCCGGCAUAAAACACUGGCCCAAGAGGAUUGUGGGAUCGCCAUCUUCGUUCGUAUGGCAGCCAUAUUUGUUGUCAUUCCGAAGCGACAGCCAAAGCCGUUGUAUUAUAUAGCUAAAAGCAGCCAUCCAUCCUUUUGAGCAUUGUUGUGAAGUGGUGAUCUGCCAAAGAUGUUACAGCAGUGGUGUGUGACAAUUUCCUACAGUAGAAUUAUGGAAAGAUAAUCAGGCUGCCAAACAGACAGGAUGCUAGAGUUCACAGCGCUGUGUGCUUUUUUUUGAUGAAAAAAACAGAGAUAGACAUUUUGCCAUUGAAAAUAAUAGACUCUGAUGUAUUUCGUAUUAACGUGUAUUGUUUUCUUAUGUUGAUAUCUGCCCGUACAAGAGGCAACGCCCGUAAAAGAGGCACUACUAUUGCUUGAUGAGUUUGCUUUUUCAUUUAUCAAUGGUAACUUGUAACAGUCACUGUAGAAAAGUACUCCGAGAUGAAGGUUUGGUGUGUUUGUCUGUAUCAUGAGUCUUAUAGCCUCUCCUGUCUGUCCGAAUUUAUACUAUGCCGACUUGUUUGCUGGGUACACUGUCCAUACCCAAUACUAAGAGAUAAGGGUAUUCACCCGUGUGAAUGAACAAGUUCACUCAAGCUGGUUUUGCCUUUGCUUAUUUAGUGUACUUGGUAGACAAGUGCGGUCUAUCACAUCUCGGAGAAAUAUGAUACAUCAAGUAAGGAUCGUUGGCAAAUACAACGUGACACGUUAGGAAAAAAUACAGUCAAACUGAAAAAACAUUUCAUAGAAUCUUACUUUUGAGAUAUAUGAUAAGGCGGAUAGUACUUCGAAAUUUCAACACGUAAAACCAAACUGAUUGCUGACUGAUCAUUUUUUCCUGAACGUCUCACUUUGUAUUUGCUAUCGAGCCUUUAUGUCCAACUACAUGUCACUGCAUCGAAAUGCAGUCAAACCUCUGAUACUGUAGUAUGAUGAAAAAGUAUAGCACAAUGUAUCGUCUCAAUGCGAAUAAAGCGAUAACUCUUACAUACGUGUUUUUAAGUAUUUAAGGAAAAGUUGGCAUUUGGGCAUUUCAACCAUCAUGACAAGGUGGUCCAUACUCGUGUUCUUUUAAGUAUUUAAGGAAAAAGUUGUCAUUUGGGCAUUUCAGCCAUCGUGAACAUACUUUCGGACCUAGGGCUAUGUUUGUGUCUGCCAGAUCAAACAAU